GAUGAACGCUGGCGGCGUGCCUAAUACAUGCAAGUCGAGCGAACAGACGAGGAGCUUGCUCCUCUGACGUUAGCGGCGGACGGGUGAGUAACACGUGGAUAACCUCCCUAUAAGACUGGGAUAACUUCGGGAAACCGGCGCUAAUACCGGAUAAUAUAUUGAACCGCAUGGUUCAAUAGUGAAAGACGGUUUUGCUGUCACUUAUAGAUGGAUCCGCGCCGCAUUAGCUAGUUGGUAAGGUAACGGCUUACCAAGGCAACGAUGCGUAGCCGACCUGAGUGGGUGAUAGGCCACACUGGAACUGAGACACGGUCCAGACUCCUACGGGAGGCAGCAGUAGGGAAUCUUCCGCAAUGGGCGAAAGCCUGACGGAGCAACGCCGCGUGAGUGAUGAAGGUCUUCGGAUCGUAAAACUCUGUUAUUAGGGAAGAACAAAUGUGUAAGUAACUAUGCACGUCUUGACGGUACCUAAUCAGAAAGCCACGGCUAACUACGUG
rnacentral:rRNA from 1 species